AGGACGAACGCUGGCGGCGUGCCUAAUACAUGCAAGUCGAACGGUCUUUCUAUGGAAGCUUGCUCCACUGAGAAGAUAGUGGCGAACGGGUGAGUAACACGUGGGUAACCUGCCCAUAAGAGGGGGAUAACAUCCGGAAACGGGUGCUAAUACCGCAUAGUUUUCUUGAUCGCAUGAUUGAGAAAGGAAAGACGGCCUUUGUGCUGUCGCUUAUGGAUGGACCCGCGGCGUGUUAGUUAGUUGGUGAGGUAACGGCUCACCAAGACGAUGAUACGUAGCCGACCUGAGAGGGUGAUCGGCCACAUUGGGACUGAGACACGGCCCAAACUCCUACGGGAGGCAGCAGUAGGGAACCUUCCGCAAUGGACGAAAGUCUGACGGAGCAACGCCGCGUGAGUGAAAGAAGGUUUUCGGAUCGUAAAACUCUGUUGUCAGAGAAGAACAAGUUGGAGAGUAACUGCUCCAGCCUUGACGGUAUCUGACCAGAAAGCCACGGCUAACUACGUGCCAGCCGCCGC
rnacentral:rRNA from 1 species